CGAAAGAUUGACCCAGUUACUUAUUAGGAUGAUAUAUAAAUAAAAUUUAUAAAAAUAUUAAUAAGUAAUAAUUAUUAAUAAUAAUAAGUAAUAAUAAUUAAUAAUAUAAAUUGAUUAAAAAUAAAAUCCAUAAAUAGUUAAAAUAAUGAUAUAAACUACCAUAUAUAUAAAAAAUAUGGAUAUUAUAUAUAUUCUAUAUAAUAUUUUAAAAGUCCUAACCAAAAUUUGUGCCAGCAGCUGCGGUAAUACAAUGGGGGCAAGCAUUAAUCAUAAUGGCUUAAAGGGUCCGUAGAAUGAAUAAUAAAUAUUUAGAGUUAAUAAAUUUAAUUAAAGAAUUAUAAUAGUAAGGAUGAAAUGAUAAUAAUCAUUAUAAGACUGGUAUAUGUGAAGGUAUUAAUUAAAUAUUAACUGACAUUGAGGGACGAAAGCUAGAGUAGCAAUACGGAUUCGAUACCCGAGUAGUUCUAGCUGUAAACAAUGAACACCAUUUAUAUAAUAAAAAGUAUAAAUAAAUGAAAAUGAAAGUGUUCCGCCUGAAGAGUACGUUCGCAAGAAUGAAACUCAAGACAAUAGACGGUUACAGACUUAAGCAGUGGAGCAU
rnacentral:rRNA from 1 species